rnacentral:tRNA from 1 species
GGAGGGGUGGCCGAGUGGUUAAAGGCAGUGGUCUUGAAAGCCACGAGUUUUUAAAACUCCGCAGGUUCAAAUCCUGCCCCCUCCG